GAUGAACGCUGGCGGCGUGCCUAAUACAUGCAAGUCGAGCGAACGGACGAGACGCUUGCUUCUCUGAUGUUAGCGGCGGACGGGUGAGUAACACGUGGAUAACCUACCUAUAAGACUGGGAUAACUUCGGGAAACCGGAUCUAAUACCGGAUGAUAUUUUGAACCGCAUGGUUCAAAAGUGAAAGACGGUCUUGCUGUCCCUUAUAGAUGGAUCCGCGCUGCAUUAGCUAGUUGGUAAGGUAACGGCUUACCAAGGCAACGAUGCAUAGCCGACCUGAGAGGGUGAUCGGCCACACUGGAACUGAGACACGGUCCAGACUCCUACGGGAGGCAGCAGUAGGGAAUCUUCCGCAAUGGGCGAAAGCCUGACGGAGCAACGCCGCGUGAGUGAUGAAGGUCUUCGGAUCGUAAAACUCUGUUAGUAGGGAAGAACAUAUGUGUAAGUAACUGUGCACAUCUUGACGGUACCUAAUCAGAAAGCCACGGCUAACUACGUG
rnacentral:rRNA from 1 species